GCGAGAGUGGCGGAAUCGGCAGACGCGCACGUUUGAGGGGCGUGUGUAGCAGUACGUACGGGUUCAAGUCCCGUCUCUCGCACCA
rnacentral:tRNA from 1 species